UACGGAGGAUCCGAGCGUUAUCCGGAUUUAUUGGGUUUAAAGGGUGCGUAGGCGGUUUGAUAAGUUAGAGGUGAAAUGUCGGGGCUCAACCCCGAAACUGCCUCUAAUACUGUUGGACUAGAGAAUAGUUGCGGUAGGCGGAAUGUAUGGUGUAGCGGUGAAAUGCUUAGAGAUCAUACAGAACACCGAUUGCGAAGGCAGCUUACCAAACUAUAUCUGACGCUGAGGCUCGAAAGCGUGGGGAGCAAACAGG
rnacentral:rRNA from 1 species